UGAACUUAAGCAUAUCAAUAAGCGGAGGAAAAGAAACUAACAAGGAUUCCCCUAGUAACUGCGAGUGAAGCGGGAAAAGCUCAAAUUUAAAAUCUGGCAGUUUCACUGUUCCGAGUUGUAAUCUGGAGAAGCUUUUUCCGCGUCGGACCGUGUACAAGUUUCUUGGAAUAGAACGUCAUAGAGGGUGAGAAUCCCGUCCAUGACACGGACUACCCAUGCUUUGUGAUAUGCUCUCCAAGAGUCGAGUUGUUUGGGAAUGCAGCUCAAAAUGGGUGGUAAAUUCCAUCUAAAGCUAAAUAUUGGCGAGAGACCGAUAGCGAACAAGUACCGUGAGGGAAAGAUGAAAAGCACUUUGGAAAGAGAGUUAAACAGUACGUGAAAUUGUUGAAUGGGAAACGCUUGAAGUCAGUCGCGUUGGCNGAGAUUCACCCKUGCUUUGCANGGUGUACUUCUCAGUUAACGGGUCAACUUCAAUUUCANUUGGUGGAUAAAGGCAUUGGGAAUGUGGCACCUUCGGGUGUGUUAUAGACCUUUGUU
rnacentral:rRNA from 1 species